AUAGGAGAGAGGGAGAGGGGAGCUACUGAACAAGUUGAUCCUCAGGUGGAGAGAAGGUCCCACAGAGGAAGAAUCCACUGAUACCUGCAAGCAGGGUUGU